AAGCCUAAAAUCAGUAACCUGACUGACAAACACCAAAAGCUCCUUGAUGAGCAAAACCUAGAGUUUCACGAGGGGGAACAGAACAACACUGACAACGACAAUGGACCGACAAACACUGAGAGACAAGACAGGGUUUUACACACAGGGCUGGGUGAUUAAGGGAAUUGGGCACAGGUGAGAUUGAUAACUGAGAGGAGGAGCAGAACAGGGCAGGUGAGGAAACAAAACCUAAAAUCUGUAAGACAAAUCUACUGAAUGUAAACACCGUAGAAAUAAGACUAAAGAUUAAUAAACUAAUGACCUCAGAGUGACAGAACUAAUUAUACUGGAAGGCAGGAGAGGAUCAUGGGGAAGGAACACAAUACACUAAAGUGAGAUAUGAACUAGAUAAUCUAAUAUAACAGAAAACUAAUGAUAAGUGAAGUGACUACAGGGAAACCUGGAGAAGCUGGGGACCAAAAGGGGCACAGAAGAUUAGGGGACACAUGAGGGAACCUGGAGGGGCUGGGGACCACAGGGACCAGAACAUAAUAACUUCGUUGUUUGCGUCAGGUUUGCUUUUGAGCUCUGAGCUCCUCCCUUUUAUCCUUUCACAUUUUUUUCUGUCUGAUGGAUGAAACCAAACUAACGGCUUCGAUAGCAAGAAAUGCGCACUCAACAGGAUCACAUAGCAAUCUUCUGCAACACAUUGCUUGUGUUGGGACUUCUCUGCUUUGAUGGCACAUCAUAGGAGGACAGAGACGACUUAACGAGCCCGUCAAAGGAGAUUUGAUGUCAUCUGGGGAACUCAGCUAGCGAGACAAACUCCAGAAACUUUGACAUCUGCAUCUGACUCUGGUGAUUAAGCUGAUCUUUGUGAGAUUGUAACAAAUAAAAACCCAGACAGGCGUGGUCAGGAGAAAUUCCCAUCUUCCUAAUUUUCUACAGUUUCUGUUAAAAGCAGACUUUCCAUGAACCCUGCCUGCCGCGUCUCCUUUUUUCCCCCCUAGUCUUCUAAAGCAAAAUGUCCUGGCUGCUGAAGGGAUCAAACCCCCAACCUGCCUGACCUCAAAGACGUCCUGAACAGGAGGAACUCUGAACAACUUGACAAGAUGGAAAAACACAACAAAGAGAAUGAUGCUGAAUAUCCAUCUGCAGGUUCUUUAAUCACAUAGACAAUAUUUGUCAUGUUGCAUUUAUAAUUUUAUUAGAAGGUUGAACAUGUUGCUUAUGUGUCUUCAAUGUAAACUUUAAAAAUAAAUGAAUUUUAUAGAA